rnacentral:rRNA from 1 species
GGCCAGACUCCUACGGGAGGCAGCAGUGGGGAAUAUUGCACAAUGGGGGAAACCCUGAUGCAGCGACGCCGCGUGAGUGAAGAAGUAUUUCGGUAUGUAAAGCUCUAUCAGCAGGGAAGAAAAUGACGGUACCUGACUAAGAAGCCCCGGCUAACUACGUGCCAGCAGCCGCGGUAAUACGUAGGGGGCAAGCGUUAUCCGGAUUUACUGGGUGUAAAGGGAGCGUAGACGGCAUGGCAAGUCAGAUGUGAAAGCCCGGGGCUCAACCCCGGGACUGCAUUUGAAACUGUCAGGCUGGAGUGCAGGAGAGGUAAGUGGAAUUCCUAGUGUAGCGGUGAAAUGCGUAGAUAUUAGGAGGAACACCAGUGGCGAAGGCGGCUUACUGGACUGUAACUGACGUUGAGGCUCGAAAGCGUGGGGAGCAAACAGGAUUAGAUACCCCAGUAA